rnacentral:rRNA from 1 species
UACGUAGGGUGCAAGCGUUGUCCGGAAUUAUUGGGCGUAAAGAGCUCGUAGGUGGCCUGUCGCGUCGGCUGUGAAACUCGGGCUCAACUCCGAGCUUGCAGUCGAUACGGGCAGGCUAGAGUUCGGCAGGGGAGACUGGAAUUCCUGGUGUAGCGGUGAAAUGCGCAGAUAUCAGGAGGAACACCGGUGGCGAAGGCGGGUCUCUGGGCCGAUACUGACACUGAGGAGCGAAAGCGUGGGAGCGAACAGG